GAUGAACGCUGGCGGCGUGCCUAAUACAUGCAAGUCGAGCGAACAGACGAGGAGCUUGCUCCUCUGACGUUAGCGGCGGACGGGUGAGUAACACGUGGAUAACCUACCUAUAAGACUGGGAUAACUUCGGGAAACCGGAGCUAAUACCGGAUAAGAUAUUGAACCGCAUGGUUCAAUAGUGAAAGACGGUUUUGCUGGCACGUAUAGAUGGAUCCGCGCCGCAUUAGCUAGUUGGUAAGGUAACGGCUUACCAAGGCAACGAUGCGUAGCCGACCUGAGAGGCUGAUCGGCCACCCUGGAACUGAGACACGGUCCAGACUCCUACGGGAGGCAGCAGUAGGGAAUCUUCCGCAAUGGGCGAAAGCCUUACGGAGCAACGCCACGUGAGUGAUGACGGUCUUCGGAUCGUAAAACUCUGUUAUUAGGGAAGAACAACUGUGUAAGUAACUAUGCACGUCUUGACGGUACCUAAUCAGAAAGCCCCGGCUAACUACGUG
rnacentral:rRNA from 1 species